rnacentral:rRNA from 1 species
UGAGUAAUGUAUCGGAACGUACCCAGUAGCGGGGGAUAACUGGCCGAAAGGUCAGCUAAUACCGCAUACGCCCUACGGGGGAAAGGGGGGGAUCGCAAGACCUCUCACUAUUGGAGCGGCCGAUAUCGGAUUAGUUAGUUGGUGGGGUAAAGGCCUACCAAGGCGACGAUCCGUAGCUGGUUUGAGAGGACGACCAGCCACACUGGGACUGAGACACGGCCCAGACUCCUACGGGAGGCAGCAGUGGGGAAUUUUGGACAAUGGGGGCAACCCUGAUCCAGCCAUCCCGCGUGUGCGAUGAAGGCCUUCGGGUUGUAAAGCACUUUUGGCAGGAAAGAAAAGGCCUGGGCUAAUACCCUGGGCUGCUGACGGUACCUGCAGAAUAAGCACCGGCUAACUACGUGCCAGCAGCCGCGGUAAUACGUAGGGUGCAAGCGUUAAUCGGAAUUACUGGGCGUAAAGCGUGCGCAGGCGGUUCGGAAAGAAAGGUGUGAA